rnacentral:lncRNA from 1 species
AUUUCUUGAAUGGGACAUAUGCCAUCAUACAGGAGGCCAACAUAGGCAUGACAUAGUAGACUUGAAAUGCACGAGAACUACGUCGGUAGCUGAUGCAAAUAUUAUAUAACGACUGGCACUUAGACAUCUCAGUGUUGCAUUGGGUUGUCUGUACACGAGCACUCCCAUGCUUAGUUCCAA